rnacentral:misc_RNA from 1 species
GCAAACUUGGUCAUUUAGAGGAAGUAAAAGUCGUAACAAGGUUUCCGUAGGGUAAGAAUCUUCUGUCUUCUUCUGUCCACCAUAUAUGCUAACCAAGUUUUCAGUGAACCUGCGGAAGGAUCAUUACCGAGAGUUGGGCCUCUGGCCCUUACCCUCCACCCUUUUGUGUACCUGUUUGUUGCUUUGGCGGGCCGUCGUCCUCGCCGUCGGCCCUUUGGCUGGCGAGUGCCCGCCAGAGGUUUCCACCACAAACUCUGUUACGAUUCAGUCUGAACCCUUCUCGGGUUUAUAUGAAAUAAGUCAAAACUUUCAACAACGGAUCUCUUGGUUCCGGCAUCGAUGAAGAACGCAGC